rnacentral:rRNA from 1 species
CACUCCUACGGGAGGCAGCAGUGGGGAAUCUUGCGCAAUGGGCGAAAGCCUGACGCAGCCAUGCCGCGUGAAUGAUGAAGGUCUUAGGAUUGUAAAAUUCUUUCACCGGGGACGAUAAUGACGGUACCCGGAGAAGAAGCCCCGGCUAACUUCGUGCCAGCAGCCGCGGUAAUACGAAGGGGGCUAGCGUUGCUCGGAAUUACUGGGCGUAAAGGGAGCGUAGGCGGACAUUUAAGUCAGGGGUGAAAUCCCGGGGCUCAACCUCGGAAUUGCCUUUGAUACUGGGUGUCUUGAGUAUGAGAGAGGUGUGUGGAACUCCGAGUGUAGAGGUGAAAUUCGUAGAUAUUCGGAAGAACACCAGUGGCGAAGGCGACACACUGGCUCAUUACUGACGCUGAGGCUCGAAAGCGUGGGGAGCAAACAGGAUUAGAAACCCUAGUAGUCCCAUG